UUACCUUUUUCUUAAGCUUCAGAAGGUUAUUUUGGAUUGAAAUGACAAUUUGCAACUUUUCACCUUUUUAAUAGUACUGAGGACCAAAUUUAGAAAAUUCAACGGGUGGUGAGUUCAAUCAAGUGAAAAAUUGUAGGUCGAACAUGAAAGGAUGCACAUUCGUUUUUGAAGAUUGAAAAUAACGUUUCAUGAAGCAAACUUGAGGUAUCAAUCAAGUCUCACUUUUUUUAUUUGUAUAAUUGGUUGACAUAUGAGAUGCCUUAGGACGUGUGAUAGUGAUACUCAUGAUUUCUUGCUGUGCAAAAAAUAUAGUAUACACCAAGAGUUGUAUAAAUCUGUAAAGGGUGACAUACCUGCAGUACAAGAAAUUAUAAGAAGUAAAUAGCAUCGAAACAAUCUUUGCUUUUUUGGAUGGAAAUAGGUGAGAUCUAUUAAGCAAUAAUGGGGUUAGGAAUAAUGGUUGCUGAUAACUAUAUAUUUUUAUGAAUAGUCAUCUACCUGGAUGUGAUCCUUCAAACACGAAUAAUUGGAUUCUUAUAGUUCAUAAAUGAUAUUGUUUAGUUCUCCUUUAUAGAGUCUCUUUUGCAUCAUGGUAUAUCUGUUAUCAAGAAUGAUGCUCGGAAAAUUCUUCUUUCCAUGCCAAAUAACAUUUUAUUUUGACUCGAUAACACCGGGUAACAUGGCGGAUGUUUGUAGCGACAUAGAGAUAGGAAUGGGCAAAUCAUCUUAGCUAUAGUGUAUGGACAAAAGAGCAUUGAUUAAUGAUGCUGAGAGCUAGCUCUUGCCGCAUUAUCAUCUAUCUCUUUAACUUUCAAGGACCAGUAAUUGAACGAUUGUAUCAUGUGAUUGGUACUACAAAAUUGACAAUCUUUUUGUAUUAAUAUCUUAAUUUCAAGAUGAAUUGGAGAAGGGAGUCUGCUCUAUGUUUUCUAAUCGGUCAUAGUCAGUGUGUAUUUCUGGUACUGAUGUACAGUUAUUAAGAAAGUUUUCUUUUACAGAUAUUCUGCUAAUGAUAGGAAGCGUGGUUGAAAACUGCUCUGGCUGGAGUUGUAUGCUUUGUGACUGAAGACUAGAGACUGGUGUCACGGUGACUUGCACCCACUCCUGAUGGUCCUACCACCCAGCUUUUGCUCUCUUGAAUUUUCUUAUUUUCAUAUUAACACUGCUAUUAGGGUCAAUCUCUGUUGUUUACUGCUCUAAUUAAGCUAUUGCUAGGAUUCCAUGUUUCCUACAGACCUACAUUGUAUUACACUGAUCAUUAGUAAUUCAACCUACGUUGUAUUAUACUGGCCAUUAGUUGAAUGUUGAUUCUCUGAUAAUCUUAAUACAUCCAUGG
rnacentral:lncRNA from 1 species